UCACUAAAUUAUGAAAACAGAAAGAAGAGCAAGUGUUCUACAUAUGUAGGAGAACAGUCAGUAAAAUCACUGUUUUCUAACAGGCUUUUUAUACUAAGUUCUUCCAGCUGCCAAAUGCCUUAACUGAAGACAAAGCAAACAGCUAUCAUGUUUUUCAUAGUCAUGCCGUGUCGCUUUUCUGUCACCAGGUGUAAAGUAGAUAGACUAAAGUGAAGAAAAAUGGUAUCACGCUAACACAACUGUUUUUAUUAUGCAUUUGGCUUCAAAAAGUGAGAGUCUGAAAGCUGCUUCUUUCUACUGAGACUUGUACAGUUUUGUUAUCAUUCCUUUCAGCCUCUCCCAAGCUGUUUUUAUCCUUUAAAUGUGAACGCUGGAUAAGCACUAGGGUCAUUGGGUCAUUUUAACAGCUGAUUCUCAAACCAUCAAGACUGCUUCUUUUUCUCCCCUUUUGGUCUGGAAAACCUAAGGCCAACAUCCAAGCACUGAACAUCAGGUCGAAUUCUGAACUGAAUGUGAAAAUUGUGUUGGAAGUACAGAAGACUGAGAGAAAAAUGGCUGAACGAACCUUGGAUUCCUCUCUUGAUUUGGGAAGUAUGUCAGUGUAGACUUCCAUCCUUUGGCAAAUAUCUGUAAGGUCAGAAAGGAGUGCCCUAUACAUCCACCACUUCCCCCAUGACACAUGCUAGUGAGGCAUGUGCAUAAAAGUUCAAAGAUAAUUCAAAAUGACAGGUCAUGUUUGUCCAAAUGAGUAGCUAAACAGAUGCUGAACCUAUGCAUGGAGUCAGUAAUGGGAUGGAUGACAGGCAAUAAUUCAAAGCUGAAGCUAUACAAGAUGGAGGCAUGGAGGAGGACAGUAAUAAGGUUGUGGAAAUCUCGGUCGACUCUACUGGAAAGACAUAAAUGGAGAUGGGGAAAUUUAAUCACAAGACUGAAAUGGAUCUUGCCUGCGGUUUUAAGAGAGACCAAAAAUCUACAAAGAAGGAUGUCAUGCUGAGCCAGAAAGGGUUCUCUCUCCCCCCUCUCUCUCUUUCAUAACAUUUUCUAUAUUGUAAACAUGCUAUUAGUUCUAACAAGAAUUUCAGGAAGAUGAAGGAUGGCAGCUUUAUCUUUGUUUUGGUCUUUGGUUGGCUGGAGGAACUUGCACAAGUCACUUAGUCAGAAUUUUUUUUCCUCCGUAAAAUGGAAGUUAUUGAUUUCUCAUCUUCUGAAAGCAAUUUGGAUUCUCAGGAGGAAGGCAACAUACAUUUUCUUUUUUAAAAAAAUAAAAAGAUCUGUUUCCACUUUUAA